CUCCACACUCACACCGCCCAAAUGCUGAGGAGAUGAACCCUGAUGUAGGCCGAGGCCUCUGGGUGCUCACUGUCCCUGUCUCUGAAAGGUCAGCUGUUCCUGAAAGGAACCCUUCCAGCCUUCUAUUUCCAGCACAGUCUUUUCCUCCACAUUGAUUGCCUUCUGUUGAGCAGACCAGAUUGAGGAGAUCGAUGACAUUAAUUUGCACUGAGAAGAAGUUGGUGAUUUUCCUCCUUCAGCUGUGACAAGGCUGCCUGAGGCUUUUGGUCAGAAAAAGAUGCCAGCUUUAAAAAAUCUCUGCAGAAGUUUUCUCAGAAGAAUCGCAGAAUCUUGGAGCAGGAAGAAGCUUCCAGAAGACUUAAUUUUAUCCAAUUUCUUCACGGCGGAUGAAGGCACACGGAGCCCACAGUAUGGAAAGAGUGUGCCUCAGGAAACAGAGCUGAACACUUGCUCUUUUCAUGUUUUCCUCUUUUAUCUGGACCUUGGCCCCCCGGGUAGGAGGCACCUGGGGCUGGCUGAGGCACAGGAUGAGUGGAGAGGAAGGCUCUGUGGGAGCCACUCCCAUAGCCCAGAUUUAGCAGAGAUUCCGUUCGGAAGGAUUCUGGCGAAACAGCGUGAGUUGACAACUCUGCUUCUGAAUAGUACAUUAUUUAUUCAGUGCCAGCCACGAGCCCGGCAGGUGAUGAGCUAAACUAAACUUGCUGGCACACACACGCAGAACUCAGGAACAGCAGAGUGAUGGCAGCCUCAUCUCAAAGUGGCUCCUUCAAGGAGGAGGACUAAGAGUGUUAAGCCAGGUCAUAAGAAGCCUUGCAGCUUCUUGAUUCUCAGAAUGCUUGCUCUGGAAGAAGCCAGCUGCCGUGUAAGAAAUCAGAUGUCUCUGAGACCACCAUGCUGUGAGAGGCCACGACUGCCACAUGCAGAGGCUACAUGGAGAGAGAGAGAGAGAGGAGAGGGACAGAGAGAGAGAUGCUCAGCCAUCCCCGAGCCAAGGCAUAAACACAUGAGUGAGGAAGCCAGGUUGGAUGUUCCCACCCCCUCCGGUCCUCAGAUGACACCAGCCUCAGCUGCCAUCUGACUGCAACCAGAAGAGGCACCCAGAAAGACCUGCCCAGCUGAGCCCAGUCAAUCCUUAGAACAAUGAGAAGUAAUAAUAAAUUUGUGUUUUAAGUGA
rnacentral:lncRNA from 1 species